AGAAUUCGUAUUAAUAUUUUUUUGCGCCCUUUUUCGAACAACAUGAACCUAGUCACGUUUAGUUUUAUUUAUUUCGCGCAUGCGCACCGAUAACAAAUGUUUCAAAAUGUCCUUCCGGCGUAAGUAGUGGUUUUUAUGUUUGUAAUUUUCCUUGGUUAGUGAUUAUCUACAGAAACAGAAUUAUCUGUGAUAGCAUAUUAGUGCGUGGUACAUAUCGAAGAGAUACUAAUUACCACGAGAAUUAACAGGAUUUAAGAAAACUAGAAUUGUUAUCAGGAGAAAUAUAUCUUAUGAAGAACUAUUUGAUAUAUUAAUAUCGACAU